rnacentral:miRNA from 1 species
AGGGCGAAGUCGUACUGCUGU